UACGGAGGGAGCUAGCGUUGUUCGGAAUUACUGGGCGUAAAGCGCACGUAGGCGGAUCAGUAAGUUAGAGGUGAAAGCCCAGGGCUCAACCCUGGAACUGCCUUUGAUACUGCUGGUCUGGAGGUCGAGAGAGGUGAGUGGAAUUCCGAGUGUAGAGGUGAAAUUCGUAGAUAUUCGGAGGAACACCAGUGGCGAAGGCGGCUCACUGGCUCGAUACUGACGCUGAGGUGCGAAAGCGUGGGGAGCAAACAGG
rnacentral:rRNA from 1 species